CCAACUUCUUUCAAGUAACAUAGUACUGUUUACACUAAACAUGCAAAUACUACUACAGCAACUUGAAUACACAUUAUUAUCCAUAUUUUAAACAAGAUUAUUACACAUGAAACAGUCACGGCCAUUGGUCUAACAUUUAUAGAAAGAGGUCAUAGGAGCAAAUUGAACGAAACCAGCUUCAGUUAACAUCAACUCGAGGAACCUCAAACUUUAGAUUUGGAAUCAUAGUUUCAAAUGCUUCCCAUGAACCAGGUCAUGUCUUAGGAGCUAAUAGAAUGAAGCCAGUUUAAGUUAACCUCGACUCGAGGAACCUCUAACUUCAGAUUUGGAAGCAUAGCUUCGAAUGCUUCCCAUGAAGCAGCUGUCUCUUCAUCACAUACCACCACCUUCAAAUUCUCAAG
rnacentral:lncRNA from 1 species